rnacentral:lncRNA from 1 species
AGUAAUCAUCUGCCACUUUCCCCUUGACUAUUGCUUAUAAUCUCUUCGUUGAUGCCCAUUGUCAUUACCUUAUAUUUAUGAUGGAUAAACUGAAUAUUGCCAAUGCAUGAUUUUGUUGUCUAAUAGAUUACUAUGAGAAAAUAUGACUAUCCAUUUAGUCAAGAAUACGUAUAUCUUGAUUUUGUUCGUUCAUUAGUAUAUUGAAGAUGAAAAAUGAGUUGGUGAAAUUCUUGUGUUCUUUAACCUGUAUUGAUAAUUUGUAAAUGACCUCUUUUUAACUGAAUAGUCUUGCGCAAUUCAUUACUUCUUUUGAUUUAGUGUCAAUUUCUCUUCUUGCAGUGGGUUAAGAAUCCUGUGAUGGCUCAGGAGGUGAUUAAGACUGUUGAUGACAUGUUUGUUUGGAAGUUUUCAGCAUGAUUCUUUUCGUGUAUUCGUUCGAUGAGAAAUGCGAGUCCAAUUUGUCCACUUGCUCCACCCCACCAUCAGAAUGAUGAAGGAUUUUUUCUUCUUCUCGUUGUGUUUGAUCUCUUCAAUAUUUGCCUCACUCGUUGUCACCUAUGUUGAAGAAAGGUUUGGCAUUAGAUGAGGAAGAAUAAUUAGCUAAUAUGUUGAUUAUUAACUCUUUGGUCAUAUUUGGUACUAUGUAUCAAUAUGCAUUCGAAGUCUUCAAAUUUUGCAUGGCCUAAACACACAUAUGAUGACAUGUUUGGUGUGCAAAAUUAGAUUAUGGGCUUGUUUGGACCCGAUUUUUUCCUCCAAAAAAUUGAUUUUUUGAUCGUUAUUUCACUAUUCUAGCCAUCAUAUUUGACUUCUUCUCUCACGGGUGGACCCCACUUUUCUUCUAACGGUCAAAAAAUCAAUUCUCAAAAUCACUCCCAAACAGCCUCUAUAUUGGACAGUAUUGGAUAGUCAUUUUUUUUUUUUGAAGUGUCAAAUAGUGUUCAAUUUGUGUCAGGAACAUGUCAUAAGUGGUUUGGUUAGGCGCGACAUUGUAACUAAACUAUUAAAU